AAAUUGAAGAGUUUGAUCAUGGCUCAGAUUGAACGCUGGCGGCAGGCCUAACACAUGCAAGUCGAGCGGUAGCACAGAGAGCUUGCUCUCGGGUGACGAGCGGCGGACGGGUGAGUAAUGUCUGGGAAACUGCCUGAUGGAGGGGAUAACUACUGGAAACGGUAGCUAAUACCGCAUAAUGUCGCAAGACCAAAGUGGGGGACCUUCGGGCCUCAUGCCAUCAGAUGUGCCCAGAUGGGAUUAGCUAGUAGGUGGGGUAACGGCUCACCUAGGCGACGAUCCCUAGCUGGUCUGAGAGGAUGACCAGCCACACUGGAACUGAGACACGGUCCAGACUCCUACGGGAGGCAGCAGUGGGGAAUAUUGCACAAUGGGCGCAAGCCUGAUGCAGCCAUGCCGCGUGUGUGAAGAAGGCCUUCGGGUUGUAAAGCACUUUCAGCGGGGAGGAAGGCGGUGAGGUUAAUAACCUCAUCGAUUGACGUUACCCGCAGAAGAAGCACCGGCUAACUCCGUGCCAGCAGCCGCGGUAAUACGGAGGGUGCAAGCGUUAAUCGGAAUUACUGGGCGUAAAGCGCACGCAGGCGGUCUGUCAAGUCGGAUGUGAAAUCCCCGGGCUCAACCUGGGAACUGCAUUCGAAACUGGCAGGCUAGAGUCUUGUAGAGGGGGUAGAAUUCCAGGUGUAGCGGUGAAAUGCGUAGAGAUCUGGAGGAAUACCGGUGGCGAAGGCGGCCCCCUGGACAAAGACUGACGCUCAGGUGCGAAAGCGUGGGGAGCAAACAGGAUUAGAUACCCUGGUAGUCCACGCCGUAAACGAUGUCGAUUUGGAGGUUGUGCCCUUGAGGCGUGGCUUCCGGAGCUAACGCGUUAAAUCGACCGCCUGGGGAGUACGGCCGCAAGGUUAAAACUCAAAUGAAUUGACGGGGGCCCGCACAAGCGGUGGAGCAUGUGGUUUAAUUCGAUGCAACGCGAAGAACCUUACCUGGUCUUGACAUCCACAGAACUUUCCAGAGAUGGAUUGGUGCCUUCGGGAACUGUGAGACAGGUGCUGCAUGGCUGUCGUCAGCUCGUGUUGUGAAAUGUUGGGUUAAGUCCCGCAACGAGCGCAACCCUUAUCCUUUGUUGCCAGCGGUUAGGCCGGGAACUCAAAGGAGACUGCCAGUGAUAAACUGGAGGAAGGUGGGGAUGACGUCAAGUCAUCAUGGCCCUUACGACCAGGGCUACACACGUGCUACAAUGGCAUAUACAAAGAGAAGCGACCUCGCGAGAGCAAGCGGACCUCAUAAAGUAUGUCGUAGUCCGGAUUGGAGUCUGCAACUCGACUCCAUGAAGUCGGAAUCGCUAGUAAUCGUAGAUCAGAAUGCUACGGUGAAUACGUUCCCGGGCCUUGUACACACCGCCCGUCACACCAUGGGAGUGGGUUGCAAAAGAAGUAGGUAGCUUAACCUUCGGGAGGGCGCUUACCACUUUGUGAUUCAUGACUGGGGUGAAGUCGUAACAAGGUAACCGUAGGGGAACCUGCGGUUGGAUCACCUCCUUACCUUAAAGAA
rnacentral:rRNA from 1 species